rnacentral:rRNA from 1 species
UAGGGAAUAUUCCACAAUGAGCGAAAGCUUUGAUGGAGCGACACAGCGUGCACGAUGAAGGCCCUCGGGUUGUAAAGUGCUGUUGCAAGGGAAGAACAGUUAGUUGAGGAAAUGCUUCUAAUCUGACGGUACCUUGUUAGAAAGCGAUGGCUAACUAUGUGCCAGCAGCCGCGGUAAUACAUAGGUCGCAAGCGUUAUCCGGAAUUAUUGGGCGUAAAGCGUUCGUAGGCUGUUUAUUAAGUCUGGAGUCAAAUCCCAGGGCUCAACCCUGGCUCGCUUUGGAUACUGGUAAACUAGAGUUAGAUAGAGGUAAGCGGAAUUCCAUGUGGAGCGGUGAAAUGCGUAGAUAUAUGGAAGAACACCAAAGGCGAAGGCAGCUUACUGGGUCUAUACUGACGCUGAGGGACGAAAGCGUGGGGAGCAAACAGGAUUAGAUACCCUGGUAGUCCACGCUGUAAACGAUGAUCAUUAGUCGGUGGAAAACUACUGACGCAGCUAACGCAUUAAAUGAUCCGCCUGAGUAGUAUGCUCGCAGGGAGUG